UACGUAGGAGACGAGCGUUGUCCGGAGUUACUGGGCGUAAAGGGUGCGCAGGCGGCCCUGCGCGUCGCGAGUGAAAUCUCCCGGCUCAACUGGGAGGGUGGUCGCGAGACGGCAGGGCUUGAGGCUCGGUGAGGGGCGUGGAAUUCCGGGUGGAGCGGUGAAAUGCGUAGAAGAUCCGGAGGAACACCAACGGCGUAGGCAGCGCCCUAGACGAGACCUGACGCUCAGGCACGAAAGCGCGGGGAGCGAACAGG
rnacentral:rRNA from 1 species